rnacentral:rRNA from 1 species
GAUGAACGCUGGCGGCGUGCCUAAUACAUGCAAGUCGAGCGGACGGACGAGGAGUUUGCUUCUCUGAUGUUAGCGGCGGGCGGGUGAGUAACACGUGGAUAACCUCCCUAUAAGAGUGGGAUAACUUCGGGAAACGGGCGCUAAUCGCGGAGAAUCUUUUGAACCGCAGGGUGGAAUGGUGAAAGACGGUCUUGCUGUCAGUAAUAGCUGGAUCUGCGCUGCAUUAGCUAGUUGUUAAGGUAACGGCUUACCAAGGGAACUAUGCGUAGCCGACCUGAUAGGGUGGUCGGCCACCCUGGAACUGAGACGCGGUCCAGACUCCUACGGGAGGGAGCAGUAGGGAAUCGUCCGCAAUGGGCGAAAGCCUUACGGAGCGACGCCGCGUGAGUGAUGAAGGUCCUCGGAUCGUAAAACUCUGUUAUUAGUUAAGAACAUAUGCGUAAGUAACUGAGGACAGCUUGACGGUACUUAAUCAGAAAGCCCCGGCUAACUACGUG